rnacentral:lncRNA from 1 species
AAAAAAAAAAAAGUAACAAACAAACACUAGAGAUCAAAAGCACUGUAACAUAAAUGAAGACUGCCUUUAAUGGGCUUGUUAGUGGACAGGAUAGCUGUGGAAAGAAUCUCUGUGCUUAUACCAUAAUACCAACUUCCAAAAACUGAAAAGCAAAGAAAAAAAAAAAACAAAAAACUAAAAAAUAAAUGCAUGUUGGCAGAUAACAUAAACAUCUAUGUAGAAAAUCUGAAAGAAUUGACAAAAGUUCCUGGAACUAAUAACCAAUUACAGCAAAGUUGUAAGAUACAAGUUUAAUAUGCAAAAGUCAAUCAUUUCCCUAUAUACCAGCAAUGAAAAAGUGGAAUUUGAAAUUAAAAUCACAUUACUAUUUAAAUGAAUAUCCCCCCAAAGAAACAGUUAUAUAUAAAACUAACAAAAUAUAUACAAGCUGUAUAUGAGAAAGACUACAAACUCUGAAAGAUAUCAAAGAAGUUCUAAAUAAAUUAAGGGAUAUUCCAUGUUCAUGGACAAGAAGAUUCAAUAUUAUUAAGAUGUCAUUUCUUUCCAAUUUGAUCUAUAGAUUCAACGCAAUCCAAACAAACUCUCAGCAAGUUAUCAUAUAGAUUGGUUUGUUUGUUUUGCAAUAUUGGGGAUCCAAUCCAGGGUCUCACACAUGCUAGGCAAGUGCUGUACCACUGAACU